rnacentral:rRNA from 1 species
CGUGGAGACAGGUGGUGCAUGGCUGUCGUCAGCUCGUGUCGUGAGAUGUUGGGUUAAGUCCCGCAACGAGCGCAACCCUUACCCCUUGUUGCCAUCAGGUCAUGCUGGGCACUCUAGGGGAACUGCCCCGGUCAACGGGGAGGAAAGGCGGGGAUGACGUCAAGUCAUCAUGCCCCUUACGCCCUGGGCUACACACGUGCUACAAUGGCCGGUACAAAGGGAUGCAAGACCGCGAGGUGGAGCUAAACCCAAAAAGCCGGUCUAAGUUCAGAUUGGAGUCUGCAACUCGACUCCAUGAAGGAGGAAUCGCUAGUAAUCGCGUAUCAGCACGACGCGGUGAAUACGUUCCCGGGCCUUGUACACACCGCCCGUCACACCACGAAAGUCAGCUGUACUCGAAGUCGCUGAG